AUUUUGUUAAUUUUGUUUGGUUUGUUUGUUUGUUGAAACUGUUAUAACUUUUAAUCUUCCUUUUAGAUUAAACUAAUUAAUUUUUCCCCUUUUGCCGUUUUGCCUUUUGCAGUGUUCUAAAUAUUUCUUGAAUCGUUUGUGGUUAUAAAGUUUUUCUAGAUUCUAGAACUGUGAACACUAAUAAAGAAGACAAAUUUUAAGGAGCUUUAGGACAAACUAUUGAUUCAACACUAUUGAAUUCAAUUAGAAUAACUUCAAAAUGACUACACCCACACCAGAAAAUCAAGAUCAGUUUGAUCAGUUUGAGGAUGAAGACACAGAACAACAACUGGGUGCAACAGCAUCAGGUAGAAAAAGAUUGUUUAGUAAAGAGCUCAGAUGUAUGAUGUAUGGGUUUGGAGAUGACCAGAAUCCUUACACAGAGAGUGUCGACUUUCUAGAAGAUCUUGUUAUUGAAUUUAUCACUGAAACUACACACAGAGCAAUGGAAGUCGGCAGACCAGGCAGAGUACAAGUUGAAGACAUAAUAUUUCUUGUGAGAAAGGACCCACGCAAAUAUGCGAGGGUCAAAGACCUCCUAACCAUGAAUGAGGAGCUCAAGAAAGCCAGAAAAGCUUUUGAUGAAGUCAAAUAUGUUGAAGACCAACAGUAAGUUUGGUGUUCGUUCGCAACUGACGAUAAUGAUAAGUUGAAUAUAAUACUAUAAGAGGCUAAUAAUAAUAAGAUUGACUGCUUCAAGAAGAGUGCGUGCUUGAAAUUGAUGGAUUGACGGUUAUAUACGAAUGUUAUUACGCGUUUGUUGAGAUGGAUACUUAAUAAAUUAAGUUUU
rnacentral:misc_RNA from 1 species